UUCAGAUCAGCUUCUUUCUUUAUCCAUCUAUGUUUUUUUCGUUUGUUCUGCCCUCUCACCUGUUUUCAUGGGCGCCAUUCAGAUUAAUCAAAAUGCACCGGGAUUAUUAUUAUUAUUAUCAUUGCGCGAUUAUUUCUCUAAUCCUGAGGUUUCAUCCGGUUAAAAAGAAACGAAAGAGAAAAAAAAAAAUCUACGAGUGACGACACAAACCAGGAAACGAGAAACAGAUGAUGUGGGUGGACUGACAUGUAUGCAGGUGAAGGAAACACAAUGGCUGGUGGGACAACAGGAGGUGGACAUGACAGGAACAUGUUGUCUGUCCUGCAGGCCAAACCGGCUCAUUCAGAUUUUUCCGCCCCUGUCUGAACUCUACGCAAACAUUACAAAGCAGAAUCCAAUCCGGUGAGGCAGAAGCAGUAACAUCCAUGGAUGAGCGGCUCAAAGAAAUGCAUGAUUCAUUCAAAGUAUGUGGCUGACGUUACGCUGGGUGGAUGAAGUCACGCAAGGACGGCUUUUCGUAAAGUGAACUGUAGAAAGGUGGAAAAUUUACCUCUUUUCACUUUUUUACUCAAGUUUUUUGAUGCAGUUGUGUUAAGUUCUUAGAUAUUUUAAAAGUCCCUUACUUCAUUUUGAAUCAAAUGUAAUACGUUUGUGCUUUAAAUGUCCCUUUAAACUUAAUAAAUCAAUCCGUCUAGUUUCUAAGUUGAUCCCCAUUA